rnacentral:misc_RNA from 1 species
GCGUCCUAGCGUCCACGUGUUUGAAGACCUCAAAAAGCAAAUUCUCGUCCAAAUUCACAAACCCAGUUCCUGUAUUAAGUCCAUCCUCGAUUUUUUCCUCUUCUUCUUCCUGUAGGUGCUUCAUCUUCUUCAUUUUGAUAUCGUCUCCGGUGACCGGAGCAGCGUUUUGAGUUUGAGUAUCAAGUGAGCGCUUCAUUAAAGAAAUUAAUCACAGACAGAGAGAGAAAAAGA